rnacentral:rRNA from 1 species
GUAUUGAUUGGUGCUUGCAUCAUGAUUUACAUUUGAGUGAGUGGCGAACUGGUGAGUAACACGUGGGAAACCUGCCCAGAAGCGGGGGAUAACACCUGGAAACAGAUGCUAAUACCGCAUAACAACUUGGACCGCAUGGUCCGAGUUUGAAAGAUGGCUUCGGCUAUCACUUUUGGAUGGUCCCGCGGCGUAUUAGCUAGAUGGUGGGGUAACGGCUCACCAUGGCAAUGAUACGUAGCCGACCUGAGAGGGUAAUCGGCCACAUUGGGACUGAGACACGGCCCAAACUCCUACGGGAGGCAGCAGUAGGGAAUCUUCCACAAUGGACGAAAGUCUGAUGGAGCAACGCCGCGUGAGUGAAGAAGGGUUUCGGCUCGUAAAACUCUGUUGUUAAAGAAGAACAUAUCUGAGAGUAACUGUUCAGGUAUUGACGGUAUUUAACCAGAAAGCCACGGCUAACUACGUGCCAGCAGCCGCGGUAAUACGUAGGUGGCAAGCGUUGUCCGGAUUUAUUGGGCGUAAAGCGAGCGCAGGCGGUUUUUUAAGUCUGAUGUGAAAGCCUUCGGCUCAACCGAAGAAGUGCAUCGGAAACUGGGAAACUUGAGUGCAGAAGAGGACAGUGGAACUCCAUGUGUAGCGGUGAAAUGCGUAGAUAUAUGGAAGAACACCAGUGGCGAAGGCGGCUGUCUGGUCUGUAACUGACGCUGAGGCUCGAAAGUAUGGGUAGCAAACAGGAUUAGAUACCCUGGUAGUCCAUACCGUAAACGAUGAAUGCUAAGUGUUGGAGGGUUUCCGCCCUUCAGUGCUGCAGCUAACGCAUUAAGCAUUCCGCCUGGGGAGUACGGCCGCAAGGCUGAAACUCAAAGGAAUUGACGGGGGCCCGCACAAGCGGUGGAGCAUGUGGUUUAAUUCGAAGCUACGCGAAGAACCUUACCAGGUCUUGACAUACUAUGCAAAUCUAAGAGAUUAGACGUUCCCUUCGGGGACAUGGAUACAGGUGGUGCAUGGUUGUCGUCAGCUCGUGUCGUGAGAUGUUGGGUUAAGUCCCGCAACGAGCGCAACCCUUAUUAUCAGUUGCCAGCAUUAAGUUGGGCACUCUGGUGAGACUGCCGGUGACAAACCGGAGGAAGGUGGGGAUGACGUCAAAUCAUCAUGCCCCUUAUGACCUGGGCUACACACGUGCUACAAUGGAUGGUACAACGAGUUGCGAACUCGCGAGAGUAAGCUAAUCUCUUAAAGCCAUUCUCAGUUCGGAUUGUAGGCUGCAACUCGCCUACAUGAAGUCGGAAUCGCUAGUAAUCGCGGAUCAGCAUGCCGCGGUGAAUACGUUCCCGGGCCUUGUACACACCGCCCGUCACACCAUGAGAGUUUGUAACACCCAAAGUCGGUGGGGUAACCUUUUAGGA